AACGAACGCUGGCGGCAGGCUUAACACAUGCAAGUCGAGCGCCCCGCAAGGGGAGCGGCAGACGGGUGAGUAACGCGUGGGAAUCUACCCAGUUCUACGGAAUAACCCAGGGAAACUUGGACUAAUACCGUAUACGCCCUACGGGGGAAAGAUUUAUCGGAAUUGUAUGAGCCCGCGUUGGAUUAGCUAGUUGGUGGGGUAAUGGCCUACCAAGGCGACGAUCCAUAGCUGGUCUGAGAGGAUGAUCAGCCACACUGGGACUGAGACACGGCCCAGACUCCUACGGGAGGCAGCAGUGGGGAAUAUUGGACAAUGGGCGAAAGCCUGAUCCAGCCAUGCCGCGUGAGUGAUGAAGGCCUUAGGGUUGUAAAGCUCUUUCAGUGGGGAAGAUAAUGACGGUACCCACAGAAGAAGCCCCGGCUAACUUCGUGCCAGCCGCCGCUGUAAGAC
rnacentral:rRNA from 1 species